rnacentral:snoRNA from 1 species
AGCCCGAAUACAACUAUUGUAGUUCCCUCUGCCUAAAGCAUUUGACAUAUUACUAUCUCUGUCUAGCUCUAUAUCACAGUAAGACAGAGAUGCUUGGCUUCAAACAU